AAUGAACGUUGGCGGCGUGGAUUAGGCAUGCAAGUCGAGCGAGAACCCGCAAGGGGGACAGCGGCAAACGGGGUAGGAAUGAUUGGUGACGUACCCUCGGGACGGGGAUAGCCACGGGAAACUGUGGGUAAUACCCGAUAAUCUCCCAGGUUUGAAGACCUGGGUGCAAAGGUGUGAUUCCACCGGAGGAGCGGCCAAUCUGGUAUUAGCUAGUUGGUAGGGUAACGGCCUACCAAGGCUACGAUGCCUAGGGGGUGUGAGAGCAUGGCCCCCACCACUGGGACUGAGAUACUGCCCAGACACCGACGGGUGGCUGCAGUCGAGAAUCUUCGGCAAUGGGCGAAAGCCUGACCGGGCGACGCCGCGUGCGGGAUGAAGGCCUUCGGGUUGUAAACCGCUGUCAGAGGGGAUGAAGUUAUAGGAGGUUCUCCUUCUAUAUUGACAGAGCCUCAGAGGAAGCACGGGCUAAGUAUGUGCCAGCCGCCGCCGUAAGAC
rnacentral:rRNA from 1 species